AUUUUUUUAAUAUAAUCAAGUAUAUCUGACUUCCAAUCAGAAAGUCUAACAUUUAGAAAAAAUA
rnacentral:tRNA from 1 species